rnacentral:lncRNA from 1 species
AGAAACUUCUCAAGGUGAGAUUUUCAGACUCAAAAACCUAACAAUAUUUUCAUGAGUUAUUAAUUAGUUUAUUUUCUUGCAGAUUUUCACCGAGGUAUGUGUACGUUUAUUAUAUAUAUACAGUUGGGAAAAAAAGAGACGUAAAUUAAAAUUUGCAUCUUAUUUCUGAUACUAAUAGGGUGUAGAUAUGCUUAUGGUGGGAGAUCGAUGGGUAGCAGUCCCUGGACCUCUGAAAAACCAAUUGAAGCUUUGUAAGUCAAUUAAUUUUACAAGACUAGUUCUGAAUAACAAAAUUUUGUAUUUUUUUUUAACUCUUUUUGUUUUUCUAUGUGAUAUUUUGAAGACCGUUUUCUACUACCUGACCAGUACGUGUACCCGGACAUAACUGAGGAAGAGGAGGAAGAGAAGAUAAGAAACAAGCCUAGAUAAAUCGCUUGGUAUGACAUAGCUCUUAAUCUCUUUGAUUUACUUUGAAAGAAUCUUAGUUUCACUCAGACUUAUCUUCUUUUCUUUGGACUUUCAGGAGGGUGAUUUGGCUGCCAAACAAAACAUCUUACGAAUUGAGUAAUCUGUAGAAGUUAAGGAUCAUAAACUCUUUUAAUUAUUAUUGUGUUUUGGUGAUUGUUCAUUGAUUUAACAAAGAGAAUUGUAUGUCUUGAUUUGAGUAUUGUUUGCUAGAUUUGUAAAACCUUGUUCUGAGUAACUAUCUUGUAUUCUCAAGUAAGAACAGAGAAGCUAUAACUUCUUCAACUUUAAUUUCUCUGAUAAGCCUUAGAUGGUGUUACAUCUAUCUCCUCUGAUUAUGAUUAUCAAGGCAGCAUGUUUUCAGC